AUUGAACGCUGGCGGCAUGCCUUACACAUGCAAGUCGAACGGCAGCACGGGGGCAACCCUGGUGGCGAGUGGCGAACGGGUGAGUAAUGUAUCGGAACGUGCCCUGGAGUGGGGGAUAACUAGUCGAAAGAUUAGCUAAUACCGCAUACGAUCUACGGAUGAAAGUGGGGAUCGCAAGACCUCAUGCUCGUGGAGCGGCCGAUAUCUGAUUAGCAGUUGGUAGGUAAAGCCUACCAAGGCGACGAUCAGUAGCUGGUCUGAGAGGACGACCAGCCACACUGGGACUGAGACACGGCCCAGACUCCUACGGGAGGCAGCAGUGGGAAUUUUGGACAAUGGGGGCAACCCUGAUCCAGCAAUGCCGCGUGAGUGAAGAAGGCCU
rnacentral:rRNA from 1 species